GUUCUGCCAGAAGGAGCUGGCCAGCGACAAGAAGGAACCAGAUGAGCAAGACAGGGAUGAAGGAGCAGGAGCAGGGAAUGGAGCAGCACAGAAGGACGGAGAUUUCCAGCUGGAGAACCUGACGGCAGGCUUUCACGCGGCUGCUGUGGCGGCACGGAGGCAACAGAACCUGGCACUGGAGUCAUGCGGACGCUACUGCCGCGCCCUCUCAGCACGCCGGGAUCU
rnacentral:lncRNA from 1 species